UGAAACUUCAUGCUACCGGGAGCUUAGACAAGAAAGCAUAUAAUAUGAGAGAUAUUCUCGGUGAUUACCAGCUGCGGCCGGUCUCCUCCUCGCCUACUUAUACCAGAUAGCCGGCCCAUUAUUUCUGCACCACAACACAAGAAAGUCUUGCGGCCGGCCGGCACCGUCGUCUAGCUCUCACACUCGCACCGUUGCCCUGUGCAGCAGCAGCAGCAUCAUGGCGCGGUCGGAGCAGCAGGGGCUGCAGGUGCUGAGCGCGCUGGACGCGGCCAAGACGCAGUGGUACCACUUCACCGCCAUCGUCGUUGCCGGCAUGGGCUUCUUCACCGACGCCUAUGACCUCUUCUGCAUCUCCCUCGUCACCAAGCUCCUCGGCCGCAUCUACUACACCGACCUCUCCAAGCCCGACCCCGGCACGCUGCCCCCGGCGUCGCCGCCGCCGUCAACGGCGUCGCUUUCUGCGGCACGCUCGCCGGCCAGCUCUUCUUCGGCUGGCUCGGCGACAAGAUGGGCCGCAAGAGCGUCUACGGCAUGACGCUCAUUCUCAUGGUCAUCUGCUCCAUCGGCUCGGGGCUCUCCUUCGCGCACACCCCCAAGAGCGUCAUGGCCACGCUCUGCUUCUUCCGCUUCUGGCUCGGCUUCGGCAUCGGCGGCGACUACCCGCUCUCCGCCACCAUCAUGUCCGAGUACGCCAACAAGAAGACCCGCGGCGCCUUCAUCGCCGCUGUCUUCGCCAUGCAGGGCUUCGGCAUCCUCGCCGGCGGCAUCGUCACCCUCAUCAUCUCAUCCGCCUUCCGCGCUGGGUUCCACGAGCCGGCCUACCAGGACGACCGCGUCGCCUCCACCGGCACCGAGGCCGACUUCGUGUGGCGCAUCAUCCUCAUGCUCGGGGCCGUUCCGGCGCUGCUCACCUACUACUGGCGGAUGAAGAUGCCCGAGACGGCGCGCUACACCGCCCUCGUCGCCAAGAACGCCAAGCUCGCCGCCGCCGACAUGUCCAAGGUGCUGCAGGUGGAGCUCGAGGACGAGACGGAGAAGAUGGACGAGAUGGUGAGCCGCGGGGCCAACGACUUCGGCCUCUUCUCGCCGCAGUUCGCGCGGCGGCACGGCCUCCACCUGGUGGGCACGGCCACCACGUGGUUCCUGCUGGACAUCGCCUUCUACAGCCAGAACCUGUUCCAGAAGGACAUCUUCACGAGCAUCAACUGGAUCCCCAAGGCGCGCACCAUGAGCGCCCUCGACGAGGUGUUCCGCAUCUCCCGCGCGCAGACGCUCAUCGCCCUCUGCGGCACCGUGCCCGGAUACUGGUUCACCGUCUUCCUCAUCGACGUCGUCGGCCGCUUCGCCAUCCAGCUCAUGGGCUUCUUCAUGAUGACCGUCUUCAUGCUCGGCCUCGCCGUGCCCUACCACCACUGGACCACGCCCGGCAACCAGAUCGGCUUCGUCGUCAUGUACGCCUUCACCUUCUUCUUCGCCAACUUCGGCCCCAACGCCACCACCUUCGUUGUGCCCGCCGAGAUCUUCCCGGCGAGGCUGCGCUCCACGUGCCACGGGAUCUCGGCCGCCGCGGGGAAGGCCGGCGCCAUGAUCGGCGCGUUCGGGUUCCUCUACGCGGCGCAGGACCCGCACAAGCCCGACGCCGGGUACAGGCCAGGCAUCGGCGUCCGCAACUCCCUCUUCGUGCUCGCCGGGGUCAACCUGCUGGGGUUCAUGUUCACCUUCCUGGUGCCGGAGGCCAACGGGAAGUCGCUGGAGGAGAUGUCCGGCGAGGCCCAGGACGACGAGGACCAGGCACGCGCCGCCGCCGCCGUGCAGCCGUCCACGGCCUAGUAGGCCGCCAUAUAUUCCUUCACAACUCGUGCGUGCUAGUGAGGCAGCUGCAGGCUGUUGAGCUAGUCAAAGAUCCGUAAUUUGUUGGGUAAUUUGUUUUGUGAUACGUACACGCAUAAAAUACUAUUACAACUAUAGGUUUGCGGGCCACCCAACCUGCAGGGCCGGCUCAUGUAUAUGCCCAUGAUAUAUACGUACAUCAAUCAAUCAACUUGCAGUUGCAAAUGGGUAUUGCACUCAAAGUUUAGAGCUAGAGUGAGCAAAGCUAACGCUUGCUUGAGAGUUGGUCAGUGAUGAGCCUAAGGACCUCAAGACUCUCUUCAGUCAACGAAAGAGAAAUCUCAAACUAUAAUUGCACUCUGAGGUGGAUAAUUUUAAUUUUAGUUCCUGUCACUG